AGAGUUUGAUCCUGGCUCAGAACGAACGCUGGCGGCAGGCUUAACACAUGCAAGUCGAGCGAAGAGCCUUACUUCGGUUUGGUUUCUUAGCGGCGGACGGGUGAGUAACGCGUGGGAACGUGCCCUUGGGUAAGGAACAACAGUUGGAAACGGCUGCUAAUACCUUAUGAUGUCUUCGGACCAAAGAUUUAUCGCCCAGGGAUCGGCCCGCGUUGGAUUAGGUAGUUGGUGGGGUAAUGGCCUACCAAGCCUACGAUCCAUAGCUGGUUUGAGAGGAUGAUCAGCCACACUGGGACUGAGACACGGCCCAGACUCCUACGGGAGGCAGCAGUGGGGAAUCUUGGACAAUGGGGGCAACCCUGAUCCAGCCAUGCCGCGUGAACGAUGAAGGCCUUAGGGUUGUAAAGUUCUUUCACCGGGGAAGAUAAUGACGGUACCCGGAGAAGAAGCCCCGGCUAACUCCGUGCCAGCAGCCGCGGUAAUACGGAGGGGGCUAGCGUUGUUCGGAAUUACUGGGCGUAAAGCGCGCGUAGGCGGAUUGUUAAGUCGGGGGUGAAAUCCCGGGGCUCAACCCCGGAACUGCCUCCGAUACUGGCAGUCUAGAGGUCGAGAGAGGUGAGUGGAAUUCCGAGUGUAGAGGUGAAAUUCGUAGAUAUUCGGAGGAACACCAGUGGCGAACGCGGCUCACUGGCUCGAUUCUGACGCUGAAGUGCGAAAGCGUGGGGAGCAAACAGGAUUAGAU
rnacentral:rRNA from 1 species